rnacentral:rRNA from 1 species
UACGUAGGGGGCAAGCGUUGUCCGGAAUCAUUGGGCGUAAAGAGCGUGUAGGCGGCUCGAUAAGUCUGCUGUGAAAGUCCAGGGCUCAACCCUGGAAGGCCGGUGGAAACUGUCGGGCUAGAGUGCGGAAGGGGCAACUGGAAUUCUCGGUGUAGCGGUGAAAUGCGUAGAUAUCGAGAGGAACACCUGCGGCGAAGGCGGGUUGCUGGGCCGACACUGACGCUGAUGCGCGAAAGCCAGGGGAGCGAACGGG